rnacentral:rRNA from 1 species
UACGAGAGCCUCGAGCGUUAUCCGGAAUUAUUGGGCGUAAAGGGUGCGUAGGUUGCAAUGUUAGUCUUUUGUUAAAGACCCGAGCUUAACUUGGGGAUCGCGAAGGAAACGGCAUUGCUUGAAAGUGCAAGGGGUGUACGGAACUCAUGGUGUAGGGGUGAAAUCCGUUGAUAUCAUGGGGAACACCAAAAGCGAAAGCAGUACACUGGUGCAUAUUUGACACUGAAGCACGAAAGCGUGGGUAGCGAAUGGG